rnacentral:piRNA from 1 species
GACAACCUUUGGUCUCUUCUCUGUGGC